rnacentral:snoRNA from 1 species
UCCCUCUCAGGACCUCACCUGGAGAGUUCCCAGUACUCUACCAGUCUUGGCUAUGGGAGGGAGAGUCAAGCAGAGGCCUACCCAUUCCAUUCCUAGCUUGGGCAGUGGCUAGCAAGUGGAAGGCAAUCUGCUACAAGG